rnacentral:rRNA from 1 species
UGGGGAAUAUUGCGCAAUGGGGGGAACCCUGACGCAGCCAUGCCGCGUGAAUGAAGAAGGCCUUCGGGUUGUAAAGUUCUUUCGGUAUUGAGGAAGGUUGAUGUGUUAAUAGUACAUCAAAUUGACGUUAAAUACAGAAGAAGCACCGGCUAACUCCGUGCCAGCAGCCGCGGUAAUACGGAGGGUGCGAGCGUUAAUCGGAAUAACUGAGCGUAAAGGGCACGCAGGCGGUUAUUUAAGUGAGGUGUGAAAGCCCCGGGCUUAACCUGGGAAUAGCAUUUCAGACUGGGUAACUAGAGUACUUUAGGGAGGGGUAGAAUUCCACGUGUAGCGGUGAAAUGCGUAGAGAUGUGGAGGAAUACCGAAGGCGAAGGCAGCCCCUUGGGAAUGUACUGACGCUCAUGUGCGAAAGCGUGGGGAGCAAACAGGAUUAGAUACCCUGGUAGUCCACGCUGUAAACGCUGUCGAUUUGGGGGUUGGGGUUUAACUCUGGCGCCCGUAGCUAACGUGAUAAAUCGACCGCCUGGGGAGUACGGCCGCAAGGUUA